AUUGAACGCUGGCGGCAGGCCUAACACAUGCAAGUCGAACGCGUGGCGGACGGGUGAGUAAUGUCUGGGAAACUGCCUGAUGGAGGGGGAUAACUCCUGGAACCGGUAGCUAAUACCGCAUACCAUCGGAUGUGCCCAGAUGGGAUUAGCUAGUAGGUGGGGUAAAGGCUCACCUAGGCCACGCUCCCUAGCUGGUCUGAGAGGAUGACCAGCCAACCUGGAACUUAGAAACGGUCCAGACUCCUACGGGAGGCAGCAGUGGGGAAUAUUGCACAAUGGGCGCAAGCCUGAUGCAGCCAUGCCGCGUUUAUGAAGAAGGCCUUCGGGUUGUAAAGUACUUUCAGCGGGGAGGCGUUACCCGCAGAAGAAGCACCGGCUAACUCCGUGCCAGCCGCCGCGGUAAUAC
rnacentral:rRNA from 1 species